GCCCUGGUGGCAGAACAGUUAAGUGCUUGGCUGCUAACCAAAAGGUCGAUGGUUUGAACCCAUCCAGUGCC
rnacentral:tRNA from 1 species